CAGCACCUCAAGUGGUCAGGAUGAUUAUUGGGCCUAAAGCAUCCGUAGCCGGCGCUGUAAGUUUUCGGUUAAAUCUGUACGCUCAACGUACAGGCUGCCGGGAAUACUGCAGCGCUAGAGAGUGGGAGAGGUAGACGGUACUCGGUAGGAAGGGGUAAAAUCCUUUGAUCUAUUGAUGACCACCUGUGGCGAAGGCGGUCUACCAGAACACGUCCGACGGUGAGGGAUGAAAGCUGGGGGAGCAAACCGGAUUAGAUACCCGAGUAGUCC
rnacentral:rRNA from 1 species